GACGAACGCUGGCGGCGUGCUUAACACAUGCCAGUCGAACGGAAAGGCCCUGCUUUUGUGGGGUGCUCGAGUGGCGAACGGGUGAGUAACACGUGAGUAACCUGCCCUUGACUUUGGGAUAACUUCAGGAAACUGGGGCUAAUACCGGAUAGGAGCUCCUGCUGCAUGGUGGGGGUUGGAAAGUUUCGGCGGUUGGGGAUGGACUCGCGGCUUAUCAGCUUGUUGGUGGGGUAGUGGCUUACCAAGGCUUUGACGGGUAGCCGGCCUGAGAGGGUGACCGGCCACAUUGGGACUGAGAUACGGCCCAGACUCCUACGGGAGGCAGCAGUGGGGAAUAUUGCACAAUGGGCGGAAGCCUGAUGCAGCAACGCCGCGUGCGGGAUGAAGGCCUUCGGGUUGUAAACCGCUUUCGCCUGUGACGAAGCGUGAGUGACGGUAAUGGGUAAAGAAGCACCGGCUAACUACGUG
rnacentral:rRNA from 1 species